rnacentral:ncRNA from 1 species
CGGCGUGCGGGAGGCUCUGACGCGCGGUCCACAUCCCGGCCGCCGGGACCGCGCCGAGCCACUGGCGGGACCGGCCCGCGUGGUG